UCAUCCUCCGGGGAGUGGGCAGCGGGGUCACAGGAGAUGAGCGCUCUGGAGGAAGCUGCUGCAACAGCCCAGGCCGCGGCAGCGAGCGGCGCAUUCCCAGGUCGGAAGGAAAGCGGGGUCCCCACGCGCCACACCACAGGUCAGCUGGAGUCAGACUGGAGGACCACGGUGGGAAACGCGCUCAGGCCGGCACCUGGGAGCCCAGCGAGGCGGCCGGGGACACCCCGGGUUCAAGGGAGGCGGCCCCCUCCCCCUCCCUCCCCCGCUGAAUCCCAUCAGAAACUACCAAGACGCCCGGAAUAAAAGGUUUCAAGUUCAAUAGUCACACUCUCUCCAAAUACAAAAAGCAGUUACAAUUCAACUGAACACAGAAGCUCGUGUGCAAAGUUACGAGGAACUGAGACAUCGUAUAAAAAGUUAGGUUAAAGAUGA